UACGAAGGGGGCUAGCGUUGCUCGGAAUUACUGGGCGUAAAGCGCGUGUAGGCGGGUCUUUAAGUCAGGGGUGAAAUGCCAAGGCUCAACCUUGGAACUGCCUUUGAUACUGGAGAUCUUGAGUCCGGGAGAGGUGAGUGGAACUGCGAGUGUAGAGGUGAAAUUCGUAGAUAUUCGCAAGAACACCAGUGGCGAAGGCGGCUCACUGGCCCGGAACUGACGCUGAGACGCGAAAGCGUGGGGAGCAAACAGG
rnacentral:rRNA from 1 species